rnacentral:rRNA from 1 species
UACAGAGGGUGCAAGCGUUGCUCGGAAUCAUUGGGCGUAAAGGGUAGGUAGGUGGUCUCAUUUGGUCUGGGGUGAAAGCCCAGGGCUUAACCCUGGAAGUGCCCCCAGAGACGGUGAGACUAGAGUUCUGGAGAGGGUCGUGGAAUUCCCGGUGUAGCGGUGGAAUGCGCAGAUAUCAGGAGGAACACCGAUGGCGAAGGCAGGUCACUGGGCCGCAACUGACGCUGAGGAGCGAAAGCAUGGGGAGCGAACAGG